rnacentral:rRNA from 1 species
CGUACCGGCGAAGAACCGCCCAAGACAAUCCAGUAGUGCUAAGUAUCUGAAUCCCUUUGAUGGAUCCCUUCGGGGUGAAGCGUUGGGCCUAGCGUACGACCCCGUGCUGGUGCGUUUAGCGUAUUAACAGGUGUGACGCAGGAAGGUAGCCGAGCCGGGCGAUGGUUGUCCCGGUCUAAGGAUGUAGGGCGAACGAUAGGCAAAUCCGUCGUUCAUAUAGCCUGAGAUCUGAUGGGUAGACGCAAGUCGAAAUCGGUGAUCCUAUGCUGCCAAGAAAAGCAUCGACGCGAGGUUCUAGCUGCCCGUACCCCAAACCGACUCAGGUGGUCAGGUAGAGAAUACUAAGGAGAUCGAGAGAAUCGUGGUUAAGGAACUCGGCAAAAUGCCCCCGUAACUUCGGGAGAAGGGGGGCCUGAGGCGUGAACGGACUUGCUCCGGGAGCGUUCGAUGGCCGCAGAGACCAGUGGGAAGCGACUGUUUACUAAAAACACAGGUCCGUGCUAAGUCGCAAGACGAUGUAUACGGACUGACGCCUGCCCGGUGCUGGA